rnacentral:lncRNA from 1 species
AAACUUCCAAUCUCAUUUUAUCUCCAUUAUUUUCUACACCUAAAAUUGGGUCCCACAACCCGGUUCUUUGUCUAGGGAUAGCAGUUGAGUACUAGUGGUGGUCUCGGGUAGAAUUGGUAAGAAGACAUCAAACCUUUUGAAAGCUUCAAAGGUAAUACUUCUUAAAACCCUAAUUUGAUUAGUUUAUGGUUACAUGUUAAUUGUGACAAUUAGGGUAGAAAUUCGAUUCUUUUUCCGCUGUGCAUGACUUAGUUCUAUCAUGUGGUAUCAGAGCAUGCUUCAUUUUUACCCAAUUGCAUGUGUGGGUUCAUAUUUAUUAGAUAAAAUUUUGGUUUGAACUAAAAUGGAUAUAUUAUGAUUUUGGCUCUAGAUUAAGUGUUUUUGUUCUAAUUAUUGUAAUUAGCCUUGUUAAUGGCUUAUUUUUAUUGUUGCAAAGUGUUUGUAAUUUUUAAAAAAAUAAAAAAAAAGUCAUUAGAGUUGAAGCCAGGCUGUAAUUGGUUCAACCGGGUGAGAGAAUUGAAAAAAAUGAAGAAAAGAAGGUCACAGACCCGAAAACCCGGCCUUGACCCGCUUCGCGACCCGCACGCGCCCGCAUGCCCGCGCGCCCUCCUGCGUCCGCACGCGCCCGCGCGCCCUCCUGCGCCCGCAUGCGCCAUUAACAAGUAUAUCAUCAAAGAACACCAAAACACAGCGCCGAAGGAAAGGUUUAAAUACC